rnacentral:rRNA from 1 species
GACUCUCGGCAACGGAUAUCGCAGCUCUCGCAUCGAUGAAGAACGUAGCGAAAUGCGAUACUUGGUGUGAAUUGCAGAAUCCCAUGAACCAUCGAGUCUUUGAAUGCAAGUUGCGCCCGAAGCCAUUAGGCCGAGGGCACGUCUGCCUGGGCGUCA